UUUAAAAAGAAAAAUAAAGGGUAUUGAGGGCACGUCUCUGUAUCAUUAAACAGAGAAACUUGCCAACGAAUAAGAUCUAGUUCCCGUCAGGAAUGUCGUCAUCAAGCCAAGUCUUCCUGAAUCUUGGGUUCAUACUGAGCAUUUACCAUCUGAGCUCAUGUCAGGACUACAGAAGAUUUAGGGACAACCAUGUAGUGAUUGGUCAGAUGCAGAUCAGCUGUGCCCAAAUCGAGUCUGAGAGAAACAUGUCCGACCAACACGGUGGCUGCAAAGAGAGUAACACCUUCAUUCAUGCGGAAAAUGUGAAAACCAUCACUAGAAUCUGCAAAGGGAAAACCGAACACAUGGACCGUGUCUUAAGUAAACACACCUUUCACAUUACGGAUUGUGUGCUAGACCAGGACUCACUAUUUCCAAACUGCGCAUUUCAUCAGAGUGAGGAGAAACGCCAAAUAUGUGUGAAAUGCGUCAGAUCCUUUCCCGUCCUUCUUUAUUCACCAGAGGAACAUGCGUCCUGUAAACCUGAGCUGUGAGCCACGAUGUAUGGAUUCUGAAUAAUACCCAGACAUUGUAGUCUUUUACUUUAAUUAAAUGAUACAUAUUAUGUGUUUAAUUCAA